rnacentral:rRNA from 1 species
GAUGAACGCUGGCGGCGUGCCUAAUACAUGCAAGUCGAGCGAACGGACGAGAAGCUUGCUUCUCUGAUGUUAGCGGCGGACGGGUGAGUAACACGUGGAUAACCUACCUAUAAGACUGGGAUAACUUCGGGACACCGUAGCUAAUACCGGAUAAUAUUUUGAACCGCAUGGUUCAAAAGUGAAAGACGGUCUUGCUGUCACUUAUAGAUGGAUCCGCGCUGCAUUAGCUAGUUGGUAAGGUAACGGCUUACCAAGGCAACGAUGCAUAGCCGACCUGAGAGGGUGAUCGGCCACACUGGAACUGAGACACGGUCCAGACUCCUACGGGAGGCAGCAGUAGGGAAUCUUCCGCAAUGGGCGAAAGCCUUACGGAGCAACGCCGCGUGAGUGAUGAAGGUCUUCGGAUCGUAAAACUCUGUUAUUAGGGAAGAACAUAUGUGUAAGUAACUGUGCACAUCUUGACGGUACCUAAUCAGAAAGCCACGGCUAACUACGUG